rnacentral:rRNA from 1 species
AGAGUUUGAUCCUGGCUCAGAACGAACGCUGGCGGCGUGCUUAACACAUGCAAGUCGAACGCGAAAGUCCGCAAGGAUGAGUAGAGUGGCGCACGGGUGAGUAAUGUAUAGGAACGUACCUUCUGGUGGGGGAUAACCACGGGAAACCAUGGCUAAUACCGCAUGAGAUCGAAAGAUGAAAGGGGGCGAUUGGGUAACCAAGCUCUCGCCGUUAGAGCGGCCUAUUUUCCAUUAGCUAGUUGGCAGGGUAAAAGCCUACCAAGGCGACGAUGGAUAGCUGGUCUGAGAGGACGAUCAGCCACACUGGAACUGAGACACGGUCCAGACUCCUACGUGAGGCAGCAGUGGGGAAUCUUGCACAAUGGGCGAAAGCCUGAUGCAGCAACGCCGCGUGAGUGAAGAAGGCUCUUGGGUCGUAAAGCUCUUUCGGUUGGGAAGAAGGGACAGUGGGUUAAUACCCCAUUGUUUUGACGGUACCAGCAUAAGAAGCACCGGCUAAUUUCGUGCCAGCAGCCGCGGUAAUACGAGAGGUGCAAGCGUUGUUCGGAGUAAUUGGGCGUAAAGCGCACGUAGGUGGGCUUGUAAGUCGGAUGUGAAAUCCCUGGGCUUAACCUAGGAACUGCACCCGAAACUACAAGUCUUGAAUGCUUCAGAGGUUGGUAGAAUUCCUGGUGUAGGAGUGAAAUCCGUAGAUAUCAGGAGGAAUACCGGAGGCGAAGGCGGCCAACUGGGAAUGCAUUGACACUGAGGUGCGAAAGCGUGGGGAGCAAACAGGAUUAGAUACCCUGGUAGUCCACGCCGUAAACUAUGGAUACUAAGUGUUUGGAGAAUUAACCCUCUGAGUACUAUAGCUAACGCGGUAAGUAUCCCGCCUGGGGAGUACAGUCGCAAGGCCGAAACUCAAAGGAAUUGACGGGGGCCCGCACAAGCGGUGGAGUAUGUGGUUUAAUUCGAAGCAACGCGCAGAACCUUACCUACCCUUAACAUCCCGUGCUAGUGCCAGAGAUGGUAUGUUCUCUUCGGAGACGCGGAGAUAGGUGCUGCAUGGCUGUCGUCAGCUCGUGUCGUAAGAUGUCUGGUUAAGUCCAAUAACGAGCGCAACCCUUGUCCUUAGUUACCAUCAUUAAGUUGGGGACUCUAAGGAGACUGCCGGUGUUAAACCGGAGGAAGGCGGGGAUGACGUCAAGUCCUCAUGGCCCUUACGGGUAGGGCUACACACGUACUACAAUGGCAGAAACAGACUGAUGCGAAAUCGCGAGAUGGAGCUAAUCGGUAAAACACUGCCUCAGUUCAGAUUGCAGUCUGCAACUCGACUGCAUGAAGUUGGAAUCGCUAGUAAUCGCUGAUCAGCAAGCAGCGGUGAAUACGUUCCCGGGCCUUGUACACACCGCCCGUCACACCACGAGAGUGGUUAUAACCAGAAGCAGCCGAGCUAACCGCAAGGAGGCAAGCUACCAAGGUUGUAGCCGUGAUUGGGGUGAAGUCGUAACAAGGUA